rnacentral:rRNA from 1 species
GACGAACGCUGGCGGCGUGCUUAACACAUGCAAGUCGAACGAAGUGGCGAACGGGUGAGUAAUACGUGAGUAACCUGCCCUCCUUUUUGGGAUAAGCCUUGGAAACGGGGUCUAAUACCGGAUAAAGGGGGAUGGGCUCGCGGCCUAUAAGCUUGUUGGUGGGGUGAUGGCCUACCAAGGCGGUGACGGGUAGCCGGCCUGAGAGGGCGACCGGCAACGUUGGGACUGAGGUACGGCCCAGACGCCUACGAGAAGCAGCAGUGGGGGAUAUUGCACAAAGGGCGAAAGACUGAUGCAGCGACGCCGAAUGGGGGAUGAGGGCUUUCGGGUUGUAAACCUAUUUCGCUAGGGAGCGGGUAGAUGGAGAAGAAGCGCCGGCUAACUACGUGCCAGCAGCCGCGGUAAUUC